rnacentral:rRNA from 1 species
GAUGAACGCUGGCGGCGCGCCUAACACAUGCAAGUCGAACGAGUAAGACGCCUUCGGGCGUGGAUAGAGUGGCGAACGGGUGAGUAACACGUGACCAACCUGCCCCCUCCUCCGGGACAACCUCGGGAAACCGAGGCUAAUACCGGAUACUCCGGGCCCCCCGCAUGGGGGGCCCGGGAAAGCCCUGGCGGGAGGGGAUGGGGUCGCGGCCCAUCAGGUGGACGGCGGGGUAACGGCCCACCGUGCCUGCAACGGGUAGCCGGGCUGAGAGGCCGAUCGGCCACAUUGGGACUGAGACACGGCCCAGACUCCUACGGGAGGCAGCAGUGGGGAAUUUUGCGCAAUGGGGGCAACCCUGACGCAGCGACGCCGCGUGCGGGACGAAGUCAUUCGUGACGUAAACCGCUUUCAGCGAGGAAGAACC